rnacentral:lncRNA from 1 species
CUAAAGCCAAGGUAUGAGAAGCAUGGCAGCUCUGCUGUGGUCCCUGUCCUGUGAGCCAGGUGAAUCUCAUCAUUUCAGAAGUUCUCUCUUUAGCCUUAAAGCCACUACAUCAGCACUGUUACUGCUUUAUCCAGCCCCUCAGCUUUCAGGAGCAUUGUUCCAUAGGUCAUUGCAGGCUGAGUGCUUCUUGGUGGGAUUAGUUCUGCUGCCUCUACCACGUAGGUAAUGCCUUUGUUCCAGACUGUCAGUUGUUUAAUUGGGAAGAGUGUUUGCUUCUUGCUGCACUAGGUCUGAGCUGGAUCCCUGAGUUUUGCCAGGUUCUAAUCUUGCAUUUUCUGUAUCCCAUUUUCAGGAAGAUCUCUUAGCUGUUUGUUCUUCUAGGAUACAGUUGAGGACAGAGUUGCAGGAAAAUGUGAUGGCCCAAAAGAAAGCAGGAAGGAAGGAAGAGAGGGCUUCUAGUA